GCAAUAUGAUUUAGAAGAAGUGAGAAUGGAAGUGGGAACUCUUAAGAGGCAGAAGUUCAAGUAUAUGGUAAUGAAGACAUACUAAGGUGGUGGCAUUGGGAGUGAUGAAAAGAGUAAUGGGCAAAGAUUUCAGAGAGGCAAAUAUCAACUCGAUAUGGAGAGACUGAGGCCCAAAGGCAAAAAGUGAUUUACUCAAGGUGUCACAUGAGGACAAGAAUUCAGUAAUAGAAUCUGCUUUUGUAGCCAGCCACUGGAAGUGAAGCUCAAGAUAUUGGAAACCCAUCGCAGGAAGCAAAGAGAUUGGCUCUUCCUUUUACCCAGAGCAGUUUCCAAACAGUCCUCUUGGCCAACCAUCUGGGGGGAAAGAAACCUAUUUGGCUGUCUCUGUGACCCAGGAGGUGCUGGAUUCUCCUUGCCUUAGGCUGUCUGGCUAGGUGCCACUUGGAUAGUAAAAAAGGAGAUCUCACUUUGUCUCCACUAUCCUCCAGCUCGCAUUUGGGGGUCUAUAUUCUGCCAAGAAACAGGAUCCUCCUCUCCAAGCCGCCUCUCCUGUGCCACUUCUCUCCAGGGCCCAGUCCCUUCCAACAGACAAAUCCUCAGUCUUCCUUUCCCGGCCAUAUGUGAGAGCUAUGACAGGGACAGUGUUCCACCACAUUGAACUAGGGAGGGCAAAGGCAGCUGCCGAUCAAUCCCCUAUGACUUUGGGGAAAUGCCUUCAUGAUUUCUCCAAGCUCAGGCUUCAUGGAGUUGGAGGGCAUCCACAUUGCUAUGUCUCAUCCCCUUGCCUAUCCCUACACACAUGCUAGCACACAUAGAUACACCAGUCACCAGCUCUGCUGGCAACACCACGGGACUGGAAGUCUUCAGAAAUGACAUUUCUCCCACUCCCAACCCCGCCAGUGGAUUAUCUCCCAAUGGGGAACGACUGGCUCAUUAUGUAUCCUUGCUUCCUUCCUCACGCCCUUCCCUUCCCCAUAUGAACACCAUGACCCAGAUGCCCGAGCAUCAUAAGCCUUCUCUCCCAGCCGAGCUGCCCACCCACCAUUCCUCUCUCUGAGAGUUAGGAAACAAGCCCAGGUCACUGAGAAGAAAUGCGGGUGACUCAGUUUCCGCUUGUUUAUCCCCAGAAUGGCAGGAAGGAGGGAAGACUGUUAGUUCCACAGUCAUUUCUCCCUCUAUUUUUACUAAGAAAAACCAUUAGAGUGAUUGACAUUCAAACAGAUAUUUCACAUCAUACACAGCCCUCUUACAAUUAUCCCAUAGGAAAACAAAGACACUUGGAGUUGUAGAUUAGGAAACUGAGGCCCACAGAGAUGAUGUGAUUUGUGUGAGGUCACAGUGUGAGGGAAGGGUGGAUCUGUAGCUCCAGGUCUCCCUCUCCACAUUCACCCCUGAAAUUACUUUGUAUAUAUUGUGUAUUGACUUGCGUGUAUAUGUCUUAUUUCUCCUUGUAGAAUGUAAGCUCCUUGAAGGCAGGGACUGUUUUAUUUUUGUUUUUAUGUCCACAGUGCCUUGAACGUAGAAGGCCUUUAAUAAAUGAUUAUUGA
ensembl:lncRNA